rnacentral:rRNA from 1 species
CCUACGGGAGGCAGCAGUGGGGAAUAUUGGACAAUGGGGGCAACCCUGAUCCAGCAAUGCCGCGUGAGUGAUGAAGGCCUUCGGGUUGUAAAGCUCUUUUGUUAGGGACGAUGAUGACGGUACCUAACGAAUAAGCCCCGGCUAACUUCGUGCCAGCAGCCGCGGUAAUACGAAGGGGGCUAGCGUUGUUCGGAAUGACUGGGCGUAAAGGGCGCGUAGGCGGCUUAAUAAGUUUGGUGUGAAAUCCCUGGGCUCAACCUAGGAAUUGCAUUGAAAACUGUUAAGCUAGAGACUAAGAGAGGGAAAUGGAAUUGCGUGUGUAGAGGUGAAAUUCGUAGAUAUACGCAAGAACACCGGUGGCGAAGGCGAUUUCCUGGCUUAGAACUGACGCUAAGGCGCGAAAGCGUGGGGAGCAAACAGGAUUAGAUACCCUGGUAGUCCACGCUGUAAACGAUGAAAGCUAGAUGUCGGGGGUAUACCCCUCGGUAUCGUCGCAAACGCAUUAAGCUUUCCGCCUGGGGAGUACGGUCGCAAGAUUAAAACUCAAAGUAUAAUCGGACGNGAGAGACGCGACGACGACGACGACGAGGAGAG